rnacentral:tRNA from 3 species
GAGCCCGUAGCUCAGUCGGUAGAGCACGUGACUUUUAAUCAUGGGGCCAUGGGUUCGAGUCCCAUCGGGCUCACCA